rnacentral:misc_RNA from 1 species
AUCUUGAACUAGAAGAGACGCCAACUAUCUAUGUGAAUCAUCAUAUGAAUAUCCACAGACAAAGUUUAACACUAUUUUAACAUAAGAAGACUGUGUAAAGAAUGUCAAUUGACUAACCAAAAAUGAGUACAACUACAGGUAAAAAGAAAAGCGGUGGAUUUUUAGCACGCCAAGCUAAAUCGAAGGAGAAAGCUAUUGAUUCCAUGACGGAGGAAGAACUGUUGAAAAAAGCCACUAUCAACCCAGAGGAAGUACUACGCUUAAAUAAGAUCACUGAACGUUAAUUAUUUGUGUUCCCCUGAAGCAAAUAUCUAUGGCAUUGACUUCACACGAUUCAAACUAAGGGAUAUGGACUCGGGGGCUGUUUUGUUUGAAGUGGCCAAGCCCCCACCACCAGAAGACUCGGAAUCUGAUACAGAACUCGAUGAUGUUGAUCCUCACGCAGGGCGAUUCGUACGCUAUCAGUUUACACCACAGUUCCUAAAGCUUAAAACAGUCGGAGCAACGGUAGAAUUCGUUGUGGGAGAGAAACCAGUGAAUAAAUUCCGCAUGAUAGAGCGCCAUUUUUUCCGUGAUAAACUCCUGAAAAGUUUCGACUUUGAAUUUGGCUUCUGUAUUCCUCACAGCAGGAAUACAGUGGAACAUAUCUAUGAAUUCCCAACACUAACACCAGAUGAGGUGGAAGACAUGAUCAGCCAUCCGUUCGAGACCAGGUCCGACAGCUUCUAUUUCGUGGAGGACCAGCUCAUUAUGCAUAACAAAGCAGACUAUGCGUACAACGGAGGAUCAUAGGUGACCUUCAGCCGGCCUGGAGAGAGAAAGAGAGAGAGCUAACGUUUUUAUUCAUUCCAUGUCCAAUUACAUUUAAUAUAUUGAUACAUGAAUAUUUUACACAUGUUAAAAAAAAAAAAUUUCAAAUGACAUUCCAACAAAAAUUCCAUUUAUUAUGUUUGUUUCUUAGACUGAUUUUGUGUCACGUGUGGGUCAGUUUGCGUGGGUGUUUAUCUCAGUAGACGAUUUACCAUUCCUAGAUGAUGUACAGAUAUUUAUUGCAUACGAUACAUUUAUGCAUGAUUGGUUAUGUUCAUUUCACAACUCGAUGUGCGGAAAGCAAAACCAUGUUGAAGAAGGCGACAGAGUUUUUACAUGUUAGGGAUCUAUUAUAUAUACAGUUACCGAUAGUCAAGUGUUUCUUGUGUCUUAACUCUACUGACGUUUAAUAGUACACUGUACUUGUAUUUAGAUUAUAAACUCUUAUCUUCUCUUCCUAAGUAUACUCAAUGUCCUAACACUUUCCGUUUUGCCUGGAAACCCAGGAAAAGCAAUAGGCAUUAAACCUGUACUGUAAUUAAUUUAUUAGAUAUAUAAAGAUAUCAUGUUUAUUGUUUGUAUUUGUAUAUUUAGCUGCAUGUAUUUUACAUAUACAUGCUUUAUUAGGAUGAUAACUGAUGAGAGAGAUUGUGAACUUUAUUUUACAAGACAGUUUUAAUUCUGUAUCCAUUUGUGACCAUUGGUAUCUGUUGACAAGACAGAAGGCCCAAUUAAACGCAAGUUAUAACCGCCUCCAUCAAAUGGGGAUGAUAUAUUUGUUCAACUUUUUAUUCCUUUCAAGAAUCAUAAUAAUUCUGUAACAUUUUCUUACAUCCAAUAAUUCAGGACUGUGUAUGAGUGUGCAGACCCUUUUUAAUGCAAGUGCCUGAAAAAUAACUCAAAAUAUUUUAGAUCACUGAGAAUCAUUGUUAUUCAAUAUUAUGAUAUUUCUUUUCAAACAUUUAUGGCAAAACAAUCUCUCGUAAGAACUAUUUUUUUUAUUAAUAUCAUGUAAACAAGUUAUACCAUUGGGGAUCUCAGAACUGUAUAUUAUUUGUGUUUGUGUUUUAAAAUGGUGAUAUUGAGAUGAGUUGCAGUGAACAUGCUUUUAACAAACAGAAAUAUUCCCGUCCAUUUUUUUUAUAAUUUUUUUUGACAUUGAAGUGUCAAAGGUCAGACCAAAGUUGACAUUCAUGAGAAAAAAAAAAAGAAAUAUAUAUCUGAACUCCUCUCUGCCAUAUAUUUUAUGUUGUUAUUAAGAAAAUAUUUCAUUCAUACUUAAUAAAUGACAAAGUUCAAUCC